AUGAGUUACAAGCUUUCCAAUUAAUCACCUACAGAGAAGGUCUUUGUAUAUGAUUCCAGCCUCGUGAACCAUAUUCUAGAAUCACCUAGUCCAACUCCAUGUCAAUGAACCAGGAUCAUCUAGUCCAACCCACAUGUCAAUGCAGGAACUACAAGUACAAUAUUCUUCACAAAUUGGCAAUGGAUGUGGAAUGGGUCAGGAGUCAGGACAUCUAACCUGAAUAACAUAUCUCGAGGUAAAAACCCCAUAAUGAAUCUGAGCAAAACACUUUCCUCCUUGCCUUUCAUUCAAAGUGCUUCCUGUUUGUGCAAAGUUCCCUUUCUUUGGGGUUCUAAUCACCAAAUUCUCUUGUGGGUGUUCUAAGGAUAUGAAGCAGAAGGCCAAAGAGAUAUAUAGCACAAGGCCACAACUGUAUCAUCUGAAUUAUGGCUGAAUUGGUUGGGCAAUUUUUCCAUCUCUAUAAAAACAUGGCUCACAGCACACUGGAA